AACAAAAUCGGGUAUUAGUGACCAAAUGUCAGUGACCACUUCAAUAUUGGUCACAAAUACUAUUGAAUUAAUGACCAAUUCUACCGGUUGGUCACUAAAACUUUUAGGACCAACUAAAUUCACUUACCCGCCCAUCGUUCAAACUUUAAUGACCAAAAGUUUUAAUACUAGUGACCAUUCGUGUUGGGUCACUGAUAUUUCUGAACUUCAUAAUGCAUGGUUUCCUUUUAGUGACCAAAACUUUUCAGUUGGAGGGAUUUUUUCUCUUAAACAUCGGAGUAGGCGGGCACUUAAAAAAUCAAACUCUUUUCCAAGCACGGCAUGCUAAAGGAGUAAAGGGCUAUUUUUAAGUGAAGACCCAAAAAAAUUAAAAUCCCUAGUUCACACUUCUCAGACGUCAGACCCAGAUCUUCAUCGUCCUUCUCGGCUUCUCCCUCACUCCUCUCUUCUGUUCCCGAGUCAUGGUGGGUCGAGCCUUGAAUUCCGACCACCUUGGACAGCCCAUACGAGCCGGUGACCGUGUCACUCAACCUCAAUUUACUGGACAGAGAUCCCAGAGUUAGCCGCCGUGUUAUAGGCUUCGAGCCGAGCAAAUUACGAUUCGGUUUCAAUAUCCUGGAUUAUAGGUUUGUUUUUGGACCAUAUAAAGGAAGCUGAGAAAUCAAUUGUUAUGCGAAGCUGAGGUAUGCAUCAACAGUUGAGUCUGAAGCUUUAUUUCUCUAUUUAUUUUGAUUCAUGUGUCUGUUUGUCUGUUUGACAGAAGUAUGCAUAGUCUUUUCUUUUGUUUUGGUAUGUAAUAAGGAGUCACAAGUGUGGGUACCCUUUGUUGUAAGUUGAGGAAAUUUUCUUAAUUGAGACUUCAUCAGAAAAGGAUUUCUAGGGAUUUAUCUUUUUGUUUAAUAUUCUAUUAUAUCUUUGUACCGUUUGUGAACUGGGUCUUGUGUCUUUCAAGGAUUUGUGACUGGAAUUUUUCUAUUUGAA